AGUGGCGAACGGGUGAGUAAAGUAUCGGAACGUGCCCAGUCGUGGGGGAUAACGUAGCGAAAGUUACGCUAAUACCGCAUACGAUCUAUGGAUGAAAGCGGGGGAUCGCAAGACCUCGCGCGAUUGGAGCGGCCGAUAUCAGAUUAGGUAGUUGGUGGAGUAAAGGCUCACCAAGCCGACGAUCUGUAGCUGGUCUGAGAGGACGACCAGCCACACUGGGACUGAGACACGGCCCAGACUCCUACGGGAGGCAGCAGUGGGGAAUUUUGGACAAUGGGCGCAAGCCUGAUCCAGCCAUGCCGCGUGCAGGAUGAAGGCCUUCGGGUUGUAAACUGCUUUUGUACGGAACGAAAAGGUUUGGCCUAAUAAGCUGAGCUCAUGACGGUACCGUAAGAAUAAGCACCGGCUAACUACGUGCCAGCAGCCGCGGUAAUACGUAGGGUGCGAGCGUUAAUCGGAAUUACUGGGCGUAAAGCGUGCGCAGGCGGUUAUGUAAGACAGAUGUGAAAUCCCCGGGCUCAACCUGGGAACUGCAUUAGUGACUGCAUAGCUGGAGUACGGCAGAGGGGGGAUGGAAUUCCGCGUGUAGCAGUGAAAUGCGUAGAUAUGCGGAGGAUCACCGAUGGCGAAGGCAAUCCCCUGGGCCUGUACUGACGCUCAUGCACGAAAGCGUGG
rnacentral:rRNA from 1 species